UUUAGAGAAUUAGCAGCUGCACAGAAGGCAAUCCUGUCCAAAGAGGCUGUCAUUGCUGGGCUCACAAGAGAGCUUGCGGAAACCAAAGCCCGAAUGUCAGACAUGAAAGGAGAGCUCAGUGAGAAGCAGAAGAUGGAGCUGGAGUGGAACCUGAGCCGCGUGAAGUGCCAAGAGAGCGAACUGAGUGUCCUUAGAGAGCAGCUUUAUGAGAUGUCAAACCUUGUGGAUAAGAAGGAUAAAGACCUGAAAGCAGCAGCCGAAGAGCUAAGGCAAGCCCAAGAAAACCUGAAAGUACUGAAGGAUGCC